UUAGAAACAGUACUUUAUUUCUUUAAAUGACAUUUAAAAUACUUUAUAUACUAUAUUAUAUUUUAUGGAUUUUUUAUUAUUAUAAUUAUUAAAGAAUAUUUAGCUGAAAUAAGGACAGACAGCUUGUCUCCAGCAGAAGACAGUACAGAUGUUACACACACACACUUUCUCUCUUCGACAGAAUUUCCCAAAUUUCUAUCUGAAGUCCAGUUUCCACAUGAAGAAAUCAUUCUGUCGAAUCCUAACUGAACAAAUCAGUGGAGUUCAGACAGAAACUCUUCCUGAGAUCUUCCAAAAGGGAAGAAAGAAGCUCCUGAAAGCACAGAGCAGGGUGCCAAUAAUUCUGGAGUGAAUAAAAAACAGAAAAGCUGUAUGACGAAUUGAUGAGAAGAAAUGAGGAGCAGAUGAAGAUGGAGCAGGAAGAGGAGCUUGAGCUCAGCUGUCGCACUCACAGCCAUCGUUAGGAAGUGAUCCGAGAAGCUUGUCAUGAGGCACAUCAAGACCCAGUUACCCCCCUCACUGGACCAGUUAACCAGUAGAUACAGUUCACGUAUCGUCCAAACCGCUCCAUGGACGAUGCCAUUGCCCUCUCCCACCUGGACAAUACACACAUAUGUGUUGUUUCCACAUGACCUUUAUUUCAAAUGUGUUAUUUCUGAAUAAAAUAUUUUAGCAGUUUACAAAAGCAGCUGAUGUUCUUUUGAGACUCAAUAUGAAUAAAUGUUUAUCAGCUUGUGCUUCAAGAUUCUCUAAGAGUUUAAUGCAAUCGACAACAAAUAGUUUAAUGACACGUCCUUUUCAGUCUGAGGUUUAAAGGUGUACCUCAGAGCUCAGUAUUAAACCUGACAGUGUUUAUGUUGUUCAUGCUGCUGUUAGAACUCAUCGGACAACUCGUACUGAGGAUGACACAAUAAAGAUGAAGAUUGGUUUGAUCGACGCGAGGUCAGUGACGAAUAAGACAUUCUUGUUAAAUGACCUUUUUACGGCACAAGGUUUAGAUUUAAUGUUCAUUACUGAGACAUGGAUUACAAGUGGGGACAUUAGUCCUUUUUCUGAGCUCACACCACGGGACUGUAAUUUACAUAAUACACCUCGGUCAUCAGGACUGGCUUCUAUAUUGAAAGAGUUUAACUGUAGACUAAUAGCAAGUGAAGAAUGUGUCUCUUUUGAACGACAGCUGCUUUUAUUGGACGUUGGUAGUCCGGUUGUUAUCGCUUUUAUUUAUAGGCCUCCAAAAGCACAGAAAGAUUUUAUCAACGAAUUUGGGGAGUUUUUAGGAGGUCUGUUUUCAAAAUUUGAUAGACUGCUUAUUUUAGGAGAUUUUAAUAUACAUGUGUGCUGCCCAGAAAAUGCGAUGGCGAAGGACUUUUUAAACCUGAUCGAUUCGUUUGACCUGACACAAUUAGUGAAUGGUCCGACUCACAUCCAUGGCCAUACACUAGACCUGGUAUUGACACAUGGACUCUCUACUGAAGAUUUAGAACUAAAUGAGCAUGUUAUCUCUGACCACAAACCUGUACUUUUUAAUAUCCCUGUCUCAUGCUGUUCUGUCAAUCCUGUGAAAUCUUUGCAAUGCAUUCGCAGUUUUUCAUCUUCAACUAGUACAGAAUUUGUUGCGAUGCUUUUAGUGAGGUGUGUAAAGUGUCUGACUCUGUUCUUCUGGUUAUGGGUGUUGAUGAGCACUUGUACUGGUUGCAUUCAGCCUGUAAAGAGGUGUUAGACACAGUAGCUCCCCAAAAAAAUACACAGUGCAAAGUUAGGUCUGAUCCAUGGUUAAAUGAGGAGAUACAGUAAGAGGUCUUAGACAAACUUGUAGGCAGGCAGGAAGAAAGUGGAAGAAAAAUAAGUUGCAAAUUAAUUAUGAUAUUUUUAAGGAAGCACUAAAAAAAUUUUUCAGAGGUCUGUAAAAACGGCUAAAUAUAAGAACUUUGUCGAGUUAAUAGAAAACAAUGAUCAUAACCCUAAGACAUUGUUUAACCCUUCUGCAGACCUCGUCUGAAUUCCUAUGCUAGUUAGGAGCGCAGAUUCAACUUGACCUUGUCUGUUUUGACUGCAAUUAAAAACUGAAGUAUAUAUGAUAGACUUUUU